UAUUUUAAGACUCUACCUUAUCACCUCCACCUGUGCCUCAUUCUGCAAAUAUCUACAAUGUUAUUAUUCUCUCUAGUAUUCUGAAAAUAUCUACUCACUAUAAACAAUUGAGUGGGGUUAACUCCAACCCUAUGAGCCCUCACUCAAUCAUAACAUUUCAAACCUAUCAACUUUGUGAACACUUGGGCCUCGAUGCAACUGAUCUCCAUAGAUAUUGAGCACACAUCAAUAUGCCCUACGAUAAGGCAUGUAGCCCUCUCUUAUAUUUUAGAAAAAAAUUAUAUCUUAAUAUUUGAAAAAAAUGAAACUAUAAAUCAUUAGACAAAAUGAUUAUUAAUGUAUACAAAUAUAUCUCUCGACUCCUCCUAGAC
rnacentral:lncRNA from 1 species